rnacentral:rRNA from 1 species
CCUACGGGCGGCAGCAGUGAGGAAUCUUCGUCAAUGGGCGGGAGCCUGACCCAGCCAAGUCGCGUGAGGGAAGACGGUCCUAUGGAUUGUAAACCUCUUUAGGCGGGGAGCAAUGCCGGGCACGCGUGCACGGAGGGAGAGUACCCGCAGUAUCAGCAUCGGCUCACUCCGUGCCAGCAGCCGCGGUACUACGGAGGAUGCGAGCGUUAUCCGGAUUUAUUGGGUUUAAAGGGUGCGUAGGCGGAUUUUUAAGUCAGCGGUAAAAUGUCCGGGCUCAACCCGGGCCGGCCGUUGAAACUGGGGAGCUUGAGUGGGCGAGAAGUAUGCGGAAUGCGGGGUGUAGCGGUGAAAGGCAUAG